UUUCGAUCGUCAGAGUGUUGAAUUGCAGCUCACGUGGAUUAGUAAAGACGACGUCGUUUUUGUGAGGCCUAAACGACGUCGUUUCGUAUAAUUUCAAAUAAAUUUUUUUCCAAAUGAAAAGAGACAGUAUCUUGUAUUUGCACCAUAAUUUUUAAUAUGUAGUAAUUUUAUUGCAAAAUACAUCGUAACACGAAUAUUACAUGGAGAAAUAAUUCACACAAACUUCAAGUUAAUAAUUCGACAAUCGAAAAAAUUGGGGGAUGAAAUUACAAAAAUUAAAAAAGAUGAGUGAUUUACUUCGCCACACUUUCAAAGUUACGUUAAAAAAAAUUUGGACCCCCCUGAAUCGAAAGUCUGGCUCCGCCCCUGCACA
rnacentral:lncRNA from 1 species